ensembl:vault_RNA Vault Vault RNA
UGGCUGGCUUUAGCUCAGCAGUUACUUCCACAGUAGUUUCUAUGGUGGAAAACAACCACUCUGCGUGGUUCGAGACCCAAGGGCGCUCUCCAGCCCUUUA